CUUAUAAUUAAAAAUAAAACGGAAAAACCCUUCAAAAAAUUAAAAUGACCGGUUAAUAAUACACAAUUAAUGCUUAAGAUUCUAAUUAAAAGCAUGAUCUUCAAGCAGUUGGAGCCGAUUCACAAACGGUUCGUCUGCCACCAAGAGAGAGGGCACCUGAACUCUUCAUAUUCUUCUUCCUUUUCGUAUCUACUUUUCUAAUGUGGUUCCUCGGAGUACUUGUUUUCUUGAAAUUACCAGGGUUUUCCUCUGGUCUUCGUUCUCCUUCUUAUUCAUCCUUUUCCUCCUCUUGAUCCAAAAUACAUUCUAUAAACCCAUUUUUCUUCAUGUAUUUGUUGUCCAUUCUAUAAACCCACAUUAUACCUACUUACAAGUUACAAUUUCCAUCGGAUGAAUAAUACAUCUCACGCCACCUACUUUGCUUUUCUGCCAUCUUCUUUUCCCUUCUGGAUGGAACGAUUCACUUAACUUCUCCUCUACCGCCUUUCUUUCUUGAAACGGAAGCCUUUCAUCCCCAAUAUCAACUUAUACGCCCCAACGCAUUCUUUUGUUUGAUCUCAGCAAAUCAAACCUCCGGUAUCUUGAAGUAAAUCAGAGAAAUCAAGAACGAUGUUCUGCAUGGUUUUCCCACAUCUCUGAUUUCACCCUAAUCGUGACCUUUUCACUGGCUCCUGCGCCGGCGAUGGCCACCAUGGACAGAGGGUGUCUUAUUCCGGAAUAUGGAUGUUGCCACCUGAAACCAUGGUGCCCCCUUCAAAGCCAACCUCAUGAGAAACCAACAUCUCCAAAGGACCUGGCACUAAGUUAUGGGAAAAGACAGAAAUUUUUUCUUUAACCAAUUAUAUUCAGUGAUGGUGGGGAUGCUGAAUCUUGUUAUACUCCAAGUGUAUUGAGAAAUAGCAAAAUACUUUCAUUGCUUAAUCCAGUGGGGAUACUGAAUCUAGUUAUACUUCAAGUGUAUGGAGAAAUAGCAAAAUACUUUUAUUUCUUACUCCAGGUAUGUUCCAAAAAACGUCUGUAUAUUUUUGUUGUAUGUUCCAAAAGGGCUAAAUGCAAGAAUUAGCAAAAUACUUUAAGUUCUGCUAUGAAGUAACUAAACAAAAUGAUAUUUA